rnacentral:rRNA from 1 species
AUACGUAGGGCGCGAGCGUUGUCCGGAAUGAUUGGGCGUAAAGGGCGCGUAGGCGGCGCGGUAAGUCUGGAGUGAAAGUCCUGCUUUCAAGGUGGGAAUUGCUUUGGAUACUGCCGCGCUUGAGUGCAGGAGAGGUUAUCGGAAUUCCCGGUGUAGCGGUGAAAUGCGUAGAGAUCGGGAGGAACACCAGUGGCGAAGGCGGGUAACUGGACUGCAACUGACGCUGAGGCGCGAAAGUGUGGGGAGCAAACAGGAUUAGAUACCCUGGUAGUCCACACUGUAAACGAUGAAUGCUAGGUGUAAGAGGUAUCGACCCCUUUUGUGCCGGAGUCAACACAAUAAGCAUUCCGCCUGGGGAGUACGGCCGCAAGGUUGAAACUUAAAGGAAUUGACGGGG